ensembl:lncRNA
UGGGACGCCCGGGUGCCAAAGCGCAGCCGCAAAGGAGCACGCGUGAGCUCCCGUGCGCGAUGGCGCGCUGGGGCAGGGCAACGUCCACAGGAGUGCCGUGCCUUGCCGUGCCCACAGCCGUGCCUCACGCUGCUCUGCCUGCUGAUGUGCGUGCAGGUGAGCCAUGGCGGAGGAGCACACCUGGGAAUCCCUGGUGGAAGACAACAUCAGUCAGCUGUGCUGUGCAGGAGCUGAUGGAGGUGUGUGAGCCGCCUGCAGAAAUCCCACAGGGCAGAGCUGCUGGGCACAGAGCCGGGGUGCCGCAGGGCUCGCUGCCCUGCUCUGGCCUGGCCUUGCCGUGCUCUGGGGACAGGCUGGGAAUGCCCUUAGCCACCCUGCAUCCACGUAAGUGGUCCCGAUUGCCUUGCAGUGUAAGAAGAGGUCUGCAGAGCUGGUAGAUGCUGUCAGAGAAAAGGCAAAAAUCCGCAAGGCACUGAGGGAGGAGGUGGAGGUAGAGAUGAGGAACCUCCAAAAGGCAAGAGAGAACACCAAAAGGCGCACUGCCCUGUGUUUGAGGCCCCAGCACAGUCCAGACCCGAGGCAGAGGGGAGCUGGGAUGCCAGCAGCCCCCAGGCAUCUGUGCCACCAGCUGGAGCUCGGGAAGGCCAGGCCUGUGCAGGGCUGGCACCAAGAGGUGCCUGUCCCACUCCAGCAGAAGCCGGGCAGCUGCCUCGGGUCCCUGUGGCCACACUGGGGGGGAAGAGGUCCCAGUGCCGGCCAAGGCCUUUUCUCACACACCAAAGUCCUGGUGUCUGUAACAGCAGGAAGGUGAUGCAGGGAAGAGCACAUCAGUUCCCUGAUGCACAAGACAGUGGCUGUGCGGCUGGAGGUUUCUGCUGUUCCUGGGCCUGCUGCAGCUUGUCUUCUUCAUCCUGGUCCUGCUGAAGAGGGACAUCUUCCACGAGGUCCUGCCUGUAGAGCUGGUGACUGCCCUUGGCAGCCAUCCACCAAAACCUGCUGUUUUCUGACCCCAGAACACACUGCAGCCCUUCAUCAUUGGGUCUGCACAGGCAUUAGGGGUGCCUGCCUUGUCACCAAUAACAUCAAUAAAAUCCAUCCCAAUUCCAAAAUCUUUCAUUUGUGCAUGAGAGGUGUUAGACAGUAUAUGGGAACUGUUGAAUCACAGCCUGAACUUCUCAUUGACCACCUGAGGCAAGCACUGAGUCAGCCAUGGAGACAGGUGAAGGCAAUUCAGCUGCGUGACCAGAAGGGCUGGAGCCUGGCUGCACCUCUCCUAGACCCCAUUUAAGGGCUGACUGACACUGAGGAAGGAUUUCUUCCUGGAGAUUGCUCCCUUGGGAGUUUUUUUUUGCAAGCCUAGUACAUGGGUGAGCAUUUUCAUUUAUUUUCGAUUAUCCCUUUCCACAGUGAUAAUCUUUCUAGCUCUAUUAUCUGUAGAUACCCACCUAGCCACACCACUCUAUGUUUGUUGAUUAUACAGACCCCAGUCCUUGCUCACCACCCCUUUUUUAAUGCAGCCCAGAACAUACUUGGUUUUCCACUGCUGGUUCAUGUCGAGCUUCUCAUCAACCAGGAGCCCCAAGUCUCUCUCUUCAGGGCUGCUCUCAAUGAUAUCCUUCUCCAGUUUGUAUAAAUACCUGGGACUGCCCCAAGCCAAAUGCAGCACCCUGCACGUAACCUUAUUGAUGAGUUUCGU